rnacentral:piRNA from 1 species
UAGUACUGAUCCAAUUUUCAG